UACGUAGGGUGCGAGCGUUGUCCGGAAUUACUGGGCGUAAAGAGCUCGUAGGUGGUUUGUCGCGUUGUCCGUGAAAACUCACAACUCAAUUGUGGGCGUGCGGGCGAUACGGGCAGGCUGGAGUACUGCAGGGGAGACUGGAAUUCCUGGUGUAGCGGUGGAAUGCGCAGAUAUCAGGAGGAACACCGGUGGCGAAGGCGGGUCUCUGGGCAGUAACUGACGCUGAGGAGCGAAAGCGUGGGGAGCGAACAGG
rnacentral:rRNA from 1 species